rnacentral:rRNA from 1 species
CAGGCUCGAUCGUAGCUGUUGAGAGGACGACAGCCACCCUGGACUGAGACACGCCAGACUCCUACGGGAGGCAGCAGUGGGAUUGACAUGGGCACCUGAUCCAGCAAUGCCGCGUGUGCGAGAGCUCGGGUGUAAAGCACUUUGGCGGGACGAAACGGUGCCGGAUAUACCUGGCGCUACUGACGGUACCCGCAGAAUAAGCACCGGCUAACUACGUGCCAGCAGCCGCGGUAAUACGUAGGGUGCAAGCGUUAAUCGGAAUUACUGGGCGUAAAGCGUGCGCAGGCGGUUCGGAAAGAAAGAUGUGAAAUCCCAGGGCUCAACCUUGGAACUGCAUUUUUAACUCCCGAACUAGAGUAUGUCAGAGGGGGGUGGAAUUCCACGUGUAGCAGUGAAAUGCGUAGAUAUGUGGAGGAACACCGAUGGCGAAGGCAGCCCCCUGGGAUAAUACUGACGCUCAUGCACGAAAGCGUGGGGAGCAAACAGGAUUAGAUACCCUGGUAGUCCACGCCCUAAACGAUGUCAACUAGCUGUCGGGGUCUUCGGACUUUGGUAGCGCAGCUAACGCGUGAAGUUGACCGCCUGGGGAGUACGGUCGCAAGAUUAAAACUCAAAGGAAUUGACGGGGACCCGCACAAGCGGUGGAUGAUGUGGAUUAAUUCGAUGCAACGCGAAAAACCUUACCUACCCUUGACAUGUCUGGAAUCCUGAAGAGAUUUAGGAGUGCUCGAAAGAGAACCGGAACACAGGUGCUGCAUGGCCGUCGUCAGCUCGUGUCGUGAGAUGUUGGGUUAAGUCCCGCAACGAGCGCAACCCUUGUCAUUAGUUGCUACGAAAGGGCACUCUAAUGAGACUGCCGGUGACAAACCGGAGGAAGGUGGGGAUGACGUCAGGUCCUCAUGGCCCUUAUGGGUAGGGCUUCACACGUCAUACAAUGGUCGGGACAGAGGGCAGCCAACCCGCGAGGGGGAGCCAAUCCCAGAAACCCGAUCGUAGUCCGGAUUGCAGUCUGCAACUCGACUGCAUGAAGUCGGAAUCGCUAGUAAUCGCGGAUCAGCAUGCCGCGGUGAAUACGUUCCCGGGUCUUGUACACACCGCCCGUCACACCAUGGGAGUGGGUUCUACCAGAAGUAGUUAGCCUAACCGCAAGGAGGGCGAUUACCACGGAGGUUCCGGGCUCAAGGAGGGGG